CCGAGUUUACAACUCCCAAACCCCUGUGAACAUACCUUUAUGUUGCCUCGGCGGAUCAGCCCGCGCCCCGUAAAACGGGACGGCCCGCCGCAGGAAACCCUAAACUCUGUUUUUAGUGGAACUUCUGAGUAUAAAAAACAAAUAAAUCG
rnacentral:misc_RNA from 1 species